GACGAACCGUGCGAACGUUAUUCGGAAUCACUGGGCUUAAAGCGCGUGUAGGCGGAUGGGAACGUCGGACUCUGAAAGCCCCCGGCUCAACCGGAGAAGUGGAUCCGAAACGACCCGUCUGGAGGGACGUAGGGGGACCUGGAACUUCCGGUGGAGCGGUGAAAUGCGUUGAGAUCGGAAGGAACGCCCGUGGCGAAAGCGAGGUCCUGGACGUCUGCUGACGCUGAGACGCGAAAGCUAGGGGAGCGAACGGG
rnacentral:rRNA from 1 species